rnacentral:rRNA from 1 species
AGUGAACGCUGGCGGUAGGCCUAACACAUGCAAGUCGAACGGCAGCACAGUAAGAGCUUGCUCUUACGGGUGGCGAGUGGCGGACGGGUGAGGAAUACAUCGGAAUCUACUUUUUCGUGGGGGAUAACGUAGGGAAACUUACGCUAAUACCGCAUACGACCUACGGGUGAAAGCAGGGGAUCUUCGGACCUUGCGCGAUUGAAUGAGCCGAUGUCGGAUUAGCUAGUUGGCGGGGUAAAGGCCCACCAAGGCGACGAUCCGUAGCUGGUCUGAGAGGAUGACACGCCAAAUGGGAACUGAGAACCGGGCCAAGCCCCUAGGGGAGGCAGCGGGGGGGAAUAUUGGAAAAGGGGCGAAAGCCUGAUCCAGCCAUACCGGGUGGGGGAAGAAGGCCUGCGGGUUGUAAAGCCCUUUUGUGGGGAAAGAAAAGCAGCAGGUUAAAACCCCGCUGUUCUGACGGUACCCAAAGAAUAAGCACCGGCUAACUUCGG